AUACCGCUGACGACCGGCGCACGGGUGAGUAACACGUAUCCAACCUUCCCAUAACUCGGGGAUAGCCUUUCGAAAGAAAGAUUAAUACCCGAUAGUACUUUAUUAAGGCAUCUUAAGAAAGUUAAAGAUUUAUUGGUUAUGGAUGGGGAUGCGUUCCAUUAGAUAGUUGGUGAGGUAACGGCUCACCAAGUCUUCGAUGGAUAGGGGUUCUGAGAGGAAGGUCCCCCACAUUGGUACUGAGACACGGACCAAACUCCUACGGGAGGCAGCAGUGAGGAAUAUUGGUCAAUGGGCGAGAGCCUGA
rnacentral:rRNA from 1 species